GCGGAGGAAAAGAAACCAACAGGGAUUGCCUCAGUAACGGCGAGUGAAGCGGCAAAAGCUCAAAUUUGAAAUCUAGCACCUUCGGUGUUUGAGUUGUAAUUUGAAGAUGGUAACCUUGGGUUUGGCUCUUGUCUAUGUUCCUUGGAACAGGACGUCAUAGAGGGUGAGAAUCCCGUCUGAUGAGAUGCCCAUUCCUAUGUAAGGUGCUAUCGAAGAGUCGAGUUGUUUGGGAAUGCAGCUCUAAGUGGGUGGUAAAUUCCAUCUAAAGCUAAAUAUUGGCGAGAGACCGAUAGCGAACAAGUACAGUGAUGGAAAGAUGAAAAGAACUUUGAAAAGAGAGUGAAAAAGUACGUGAAAUUGUUGAAAGGGAAGGGCAUUAGAUCAGACUUGGUGUUUUACGAUUAUCUUCUCUUCUUGAGUUGUGCACUCGUAUUUCACUGGGCCAGCAUCGAUUCGGAUGGCAAGAUAAUGGCAGUUGAAUGUGGCUUCACUUCGGUGGAGUGUUAUAGCUUCUGCUGAUAUUGCCUGUCUGGAUCGAGGGCUGCGUCUUUUGACUAGGA
rnacentral:rRNA from 1 species